CAAUAGCGUAUAUUUAAGUUGUUGCAGUUAAAAAGCUCGUAGUUGGAUUUCGGAUGGGACUUGCCGGUCCGUCGUUUCGAUGUGCACUGGCCAGUCCUAUCUUGUUGUCGGGGACUAGCUCCUGGGCUUCACUGUCCGGGACUAGGAGCUGACGAGGUUACUUUGAGUAAAUUAGAAUGUUCAAAGCAAGCCUACGCUCUGAAUACAUUAGCAUGGAAUAACACGAUAGGACUCUGGCUUAUCUUGUUGGUCUGUGAGACCAGAGUAAUGAUUAAGAGGGACAGUCGGGGGCAUUCGUAUUUCAUUGUCAGAGGUGAAAUUCUUGAAUUUAUGAAAGACGAACUUCUGCGAAAGCAUUUGUCAAGGAUGUUUNCAUUA
rnacentral:rRNA from 1 species